rnacentral:rRNA from 1 species
UACGGAGGGUGCAAGCGUUAUCCGGAAUCACUGGGUUUAAAGGGUGCGUAGGCGGCGCUAUAAGUCAGGAGUGAAAUCCCCCAGCUAAACUGGGGAACUGCUUUUGAUACUGUAGUGCUUGAAUCAGGCUGAGGUCAGCGGAAUGAGUCAUGUAGCGGUGAAAUGCAUAGAUAUGACUUAGAACACCAAUUGCGAAGGCAGCUGGCUAGACCUGUAUUGACGCUGAGGCACGAAAGCGUGGGGAGCGAACAGG